rnacentral:rRNA from 1 species
GGCUCAGGAUGAACGCUAGCGGCAGGCUUAACACAUGCAAGUCGAGGGGUAUAGUUCUUCGGAACUAGAGACCGGCGCACGGGUGCGUAACGCGUAUGCAAUCUACCUUUACAGAGGGAUAGCCCAGAGAAAUUUGGAUUAAUACCUCAUAGUAUAGCAGUUUCGCAUGAAACCACUAUUAAAGUCACAACGGUGAAAGAUGAGCAUGCGUCCCAUUAGCUAGUUGGUAAGGUAACGGCUUACCAAGGCAACGAUGGGUAGGGGGUCCUGAGAGGGAGAUCCCCCACACUGGUACUGAGACACGGACCAGACUCCUACGGGAGGCAGCAGUGAGGAAUAUUGGACAAUGGGCGCAAGCCUGAUCCAGCCAUGCCGCGUGCAGGAUGACGGUCCUAUGGAUUGUAAACUGCUUUAUACAGGAAGAAACACUACUUCGUGAAGUAGCUUGACGGUACUGUAAGAAUAAGGAUCGGCUAACUCCGUG